AUGGGAUUAGCUAGUACGUGGGGUAACGGCUCACCUAGGCGACGAUCCCUAGCUGGUCUGAGAGGAUGACCAGCCACACUGGAACUGAGACACGGUCCAGACUCCUACGGGAGGCAGCAGUGGGGAAUAUUGCACAAUGGGCGCAAGCCUGAUGCAGCCAUGCCGCGUGUAUGAAGAAGGCCUUCGGGUUGUAAAGUACUUUACAGCGGGGAGGAAGGGAGUAAAGUUAAUACCUUUGCUCAUUGACCGUUCCCGCAGAAGAAGCUCCGUGCUAUCUCCGUGCCAGCAGCCGCGUGUAUAACUAGGGUGCGAGCGUUAAUCGGAUUUACUGGGCGUAAAGCGUGCGCAGGCGGCCCGUUAAGACAGGUGUGAAAUCCCUGGGCUCAACCUAGGAAUUGCGCUUGUGACUGGCGGGCUCGAGUACGGUAGAGGGGGGUGGAAUUCCUGGUGUAGCAGUGAAAUGCGUAGAGAUCAGGAGGAACACCGAUGGCGAAGGCAGCCCCCUGG
rnacentral:rRNA from 1 species